UACGUAGGGGGCGAGCGUUGUCCGGAUUUAUUGGGCGUAAAGAGCUCGUAGGUGGCUUGGUAAGUCGGGUGUGAAAGUCCGAGGCUCAACCUCGGAAUGGCAUUCGAUACUGCUUGGCUUGAGGCAGGUAGGGGGGAGUGGAAUUCCCGGUGUAGCGGUGGAAUGCGCAGAUAUCGGGAGGAACACCGGUGGCGAAGGCGACUCCCUGGGCCUGUCCUGACGCUGAGGAGCGAAAGCGUGGGGAGCGAACAGG
rnacentral:rRNA from 1 species